GUCACCCUCCACCUAACCGACAUGAAAACACAACACGAACCCGACCUGCGGCUUUCAGCGAAGCUCCUCCUGAUGGAAUAGUACACUUUGUCCUCAUGUGGAUUUCUCUGCAGAGCUGCAUCCCCACACUGAAUGACAAUGGCUGCCGUGAAGGUCAACUCGGCUUUUUGGCUGGAGUUGACCUGGAGGGGUUCAGCUGGGUGUUUUUGAACCUCAUACACAUUGUGAGAUACUUAGCUGGUACAUUUAGUUCACCCUAUAGAGGUAUGAGCACCUGGAUGGCAGUAAAGCAGCAUUAUUCCAUCCUCACUGUGUGCUGAGCAGAGCAGCAGGCUGCUCAUCUGAUCUGGAAUCUGCUGUUUGUCGGGUUCUUUCCAUACUAGUAGAAAACACGUGUUAGUGUUAGUAAUGUGUUAGUUUUUAAAGCAGUGCAACUUCUUCACUCCUCCUCCACAGAGAAAGGAAACACGCGUGUCCUCUAUGCUGUUUUAAGGUUCCUUUACUUAACUUACUUACUUACUCUUACUUACUUAUAAUAAUCAGUGUGCAGCGUGUUCGUGUGGUUACGUGGAUGUGACCUUCAUUAGUCUGUGGGUUGCGUGGAAACAUGGUUGCCUCUGUCGGUCACGUGGUGUGUGCGUGUGACGGUAGUCUAAUGUAAAGAGCUGAGGCACGCGACGCGCUACAUGUCCACAGUUGUUGUGAGCGCCACGAGCCGGUCGGUGGGCGAAGCUUCUGUCAUCCGGUCAGGUACCGGGACUUAACCGGGAGUGAUAAACGGAGAACUUGCCGGUGUUAAAAGCGGACAGAGCUAAGAACCGUGUCCUCUGCAGUCCCUCUCCAUCCCUCAUGGUGUGUGGGAACGCCUAGGUCAGUCCACGGUCACGCUUACCACCUCAUGUCGCCAUUUUCAGUACGGUCUAUGGUCGGAAAUAAUCUGACUUAAUGGAAACGUGAGGAAAGUAAUAAUGACAGGUCAGAAGGUGUAUCAUGGCAGGGUGUCCUCCCUCCUGCUGGGCCUCUGGGGUUCAGAGAUCAGACUGAAGUCCACUCUGGACUCGAAGACUUUCUUCACUCCAGUGGUCCCACUUAACCAGAGGAGGGUAUCAUGGGCUAAUCCCGACUUCCUGACCUGAGCCCCCUCACCUGUCGUGAAUUUUUACCACCUUACCCCACCCCAGCUCAUACGUUCAGAUGAGCCGAUUAGCAGGUAUAAAUAACAGGCUGCAGGAAGCCGGGUCAGAGGCCAGGGGACAGGAUUAGCUCCUGAGAAUAUGAGGAGUUUAAUACCCUCGACACUGGACGUGACGGAGCUCUGUGGCCCAGACUUCUACAAGAGCAACCAGGUGAUCAUUUGACAGUGUUUGCAUUGCAGUGAACAUGGCCUCAGUAUUCACUGUUCAUCAGAAUGUCUUCAGGGAUUAGUGUGCAGUAAAGACUAUGACCCUGUAUUACUUUAUUCAACAGAAAUGAAAGCAUUGUCCUUUUUAUUUCUGACCAUUUUAUAAACAAAAAUGUAUCUAAUCCUUGAUCAAAUUAAACUACAAGUAACAAAACUGAUUACAUUUUUUAAAAUUAGUGCCAAAGGUUCCUCUGUGCAGAGAUGUGUCCUCUUUGUGUUACAUUCACUGCACUUCACUUGUGAAUGUUGUUCAGCUUGAACUUCGUGUUUGUUUGAGUUGUGGGUCUUUGUCUAAUGGUUCAAGUGAAAGCUGAUGUGUCGACUUUGAUUCCAAGAUUUCGUGUAAUAAACUAUUUGCCUGCUUUUUUUCCUGGAUUUGCAUCAGGGAAUGCAAUGCUGAGCCAAACUAAAGCAAAGGUUUUA